AUGGUGGCAGCGGUGGGCGCGGGGUCCUGGGGGGGGGUGGCAUCCACGGGGGUGGGCUUGGGGGAGGUGGUCCCGGCCAUGGCCAUGGGGUUGGGCCAGGAGGUCCCGGCCAUGGGCUUGGUCAAGGUGGUCCCCUCGGUUGGGACGUGCCCCCAUGCCAUGGUCCCAUCUGUGGGCAUCGACUUGGUCGAGAUGGUCCCAUGGGUUGGGUCGUGCUCCCACGAGAUGGUGCCACCCGUGGGUAUGGCCUCGGUUGAGAUGUUCCCAUCGGUGGGCGUUGACUUGGUCAACGUGGUGCCAUCCAUUGGGACGUGCCCCCAUGAGCUGGUGUCAUCCUUGGGCAUUGACUUGGUCAACGUGGUGCCAUCCAUGGGCAUUGACUUGGUCGAGAUGUUUCCAUCUGCUGGAACACGCUCCCAUGACAUGGUGCCAUCCGUGGGCAUGGAUUUGGUUGAGAUGCUCCCAUCUGUAGGCGUUGACUCGGUCAACGUGGUGCCACCCAUGAGCAUUGACUUGGUCGAGAUGCUCCCAUCCAUUGGAACACGCUCCCAUGACAUGGUGCCAUCCAUGGGCGUGGACUUGGUUGAGAUCCCAUCCGUGGGUGUUGACUUGGUCAAGGUGGUCCCAUCUGCUGGGAUGUGCCCCCAUGAGCUGGUGUCAUCCUUGGGAACAGACGUGGUCAACAUGGUGCCACCCAUGGGUAUGGACUUGGUCGAGAUGCUCCCAUCUGUUGGAACACGCUCCCAUGACAUGGUGCCAUCCGUGGGCAUGGAUUUGGUUGAGAUGCUCCCAUCCAUGGGCAUGGACUUGGUCAAGGUGGUGCCAUCUGUUGGGACGUGUCCCCAUGAGCUGGCGUCCUCCUUGGGCACAGCCUUGGUCCCCGCGGUGCCACCCGCUGGAGGAGGCUCCCACGCCAUGGUCGAGGUGUCCCCACCUGGGCCAUGCUCCCACACGUUGGGGUCACCCACGGGGGAGGCCCUGCUCCACAUGGUCCCAUCUGGGGGCGCGGGCUCGGCCCAGGCGCUUCCAUCUGCUGGGACACGCGCCCAGGACGUGGUCCCGUGGGUGGGCACGGAUUUGGGCGCGGUGGUCCCGAAGGUGGGCACGUGCUCAUGCAAGAUGCUCCUGCCCACGGCCCCGCACCCACGGGGCUCCUGCCAGAAUCCUGCACCCAGCGCCAUGUCCUUGUAGGAGAAGCAGCCACCCAUGGGUGACGCGGUCCCAGCGGGCGGUGGGUGCUCACAGGAGAUGCCCCCACCCAUGGGCACGGAGUGGGGCGAGACGGUCCCGUGGGUGGGCUCGUGGGGGGUGCUCCUGGACGUGGGGGUGGGCUCGGGGGUGGUGGUCCCAUGGGUGGCCACGGGCUCGUGUGGGGUGGUCCCGUACAUGAAGAUGGGCUCGGAGGAGGUGGUUCCAUGGGUGCCCCCAUGCUCAUAUGAAGUGCUCCCAUAGGUGAAGAUGGACUCGGAGGAGGUGGUCCCAUGGGUGGCCAAGGUGGUCCCAUGGGUGGCCAAGGUGGUCCCAUGGGUGGCCAGGUGCUCCUGAGAAGUGCUCCCAUAGGUGAAGAUGGAUUCGGAGGAGGCGGUCCCAUAGGUGGCCAAGGUGGUCCCGUGGGUGGUCAAGGUGGUCCCAUAGGUGGCCAAGGUGGUCCCAUGGGUGGCCACGUGCUCCUGAGAAGUGCUCCCAUAGGUGAAGAUGGACUCAGAGGAGGUGGUCCCGUGGGUGGCCGUGGUGGUCCCACGGGUGCCCACGUGCUCGUGUGAGGUGCCCCCACCCACACCCACGGGUGCGAAGCUCUCCCAGCCCGGCUGCUCCAUCAGGGUGCUCGGGGGCUCGGAGCACCCAUGGGUGCCCACGCGGCUCCCUGGGGAACCCCCAUAUACGGGGACGGGCUCAGAGGAGGAGGUCCCAUGGGUGGGGACGCGCUGCUGAGAGCCCCCCUGGUGGCCGGGGUCGGACCCGUGGGUGCCACCACCACCACCACCGGUGCCACCACCACCAUGGGUGCCACCACCAUGGGUGCCACCACCGUGGGUGCCACGGUGUCCCCAUCGAUGGCCCCCUGCAGGUCCCAGACGCAGAGCUGGGCCUGCACCAGGCUGGCCCAGAAGACGUCGGCGGGGGCGGGCAGGGGGGGCCCAGGGGUGCCGGGGGCCG
rnacentral:lncRNA from 1 species